rnacentral:rRNA from 1 species
UACGUAGGGGGCUAGCGUUGUCCGGAUUUAUUGGGCGUAAAGAGCGUGUAGGCGGCUAGGUAGGUCCGUUGUGAAAACUCGAGGCUCAACCUCGAGCUGUCGAUGGAAACCAUCUGGCUAGAGUCCGGAAGAGGAGAGUGGAAUUCCUGGUGUAGCGGUGAAAUGCGCAGAUAUCAGGAAGAACACCCGUGGCGAAGGCGGCUCUCUGGUACGUGACUGACGCUGAGACGCGAAAGCGUGGGGAGCGAACAGG